GAGUCAUCUGUAGACAAGAGGAUUUCUUAGGUACAUAUUCCUUCUUUUUGGUAAAAGAAGCUUUGAAGAGGUCACAGUUGCAAGUUUGUGAAUGUCAUUACAAAGGAAAUGACAGUUUAAACAGGGCAUCUGGACCAAGCUCUUUGCAACCUGCCAAGGCUCAGAGAACACUGUGGAAAAGGAGGCAGAAAGAUAUUAAGAGUUGGAGGAUGUGGAAGAGUUCUGUAAAAUGCUAUUUUCUAGACAUUACAUUGGUGGUGUAAUCAUGAACUUAACAACAGCUCUGGUCACCUGAACUGGACUAACAGGAAAGCCCAGAAUUUGUGCAUCUGGACAGCAUACGCAAUUCAGGAGUUCAUGCUGACUUACUGAAAUCCCAGAACCAGGAGCGUUUUUCACUUUUUUUUCCCUGUAAUUUAUUUUCUACACCUCAGGUUUCUGAAAACCAGGAACAGAUGGAGUAAUGCGGGCUCCUCAGAACAGACGGCAUACCAAACUGCCUAUGUUGAGGCAUGGGGCUCUCCUGUACUGCACAGCAGCCAUGGAAUAAUUUCCUCAGAUUCUACAUCGGAGUGAACUCUUGCAGAACUUAAAACCCUUAGCCUUUCCCUGGUCCCGUUAUCCACAACUGUUGAAAGACAUUCCUGGCUAAUCCUCCUGCACUAGGUAUUGUGAGGAACUAAUUCUAAAGACAAGUCAAACAUGAACAGAACUAGUAAUGUAAAAUGCCUGAAAUAUGCGUAUCUUAGAACUCUAAUUUUGAAGAAAAUGAGAAAAUAUUAAUAGAAGCACAGUGUUUAAGAGGGUAUAGAUUCUUAUUUCAAGCCAAUCUUGUUUUGUUGGCAUCUGCUUCAUCUUCUUGCUCCUAGUUGCUUCCUGGCCUGCCAUUCUUUUACCCUUAAAAUCAAGUUAGAAAAUGAAACUGUCUUUAGACAAAAGGAUGCUCUAAAAUGAAAUUCUGUUGAUGGAGGCUUCCAUGGUGCUGUUGAUGCAAAAGACUAGGUUGACACAUAGAAAUCAGUUUGCUGUGGGUGUUAGAACUAUGGGUUAUAAGGGAUUAAAGGUCCUUCUGUCUCUUGGUUCAUUAUUUCUAUUAUAUAUCAUGAAGUAUGGAAAUGUCAGUGGUAAAUUAC